GAUGAACGCUGGCGGCGUGCCUAAUACAUGCAAGUCGAGCGAACGGACGAGAAGCUUGCUUCUCUGAUGUUAGCGGCGGACGGGUGAGUAACACGUGGAUAACCUACCUAUAAGACUGGGAUAACUUCGGGAAACCGUAGCUAAUACCGGAUAAUAUUUUGAACCGCAUGGUUCAAAAGUGAAAGACGGUCUUGCUGUCACUUAUAGAUGGAUCCGCGCUGCAUUAGCUAGUUGGUAAGGUAACGGCCUACCAAGGCAACGAUGCAUAGCCGACCUGAGAGGGUGAUCGACCACACUGGAACUGAGACACGGUCCAGACUCCUACGGGAGGCAGCAGUAGGGAAUCUUCCGCAAUGGGCGAAAGCCUGACGGAGCAACGCCGCGUGAGUGAUGAAGGUCUUCGGAUCGUAAAACUCUGUUAUUAGGGAAGAACAUAUGUGUAAGUAACUGUGCACAUCUUGACGGUACCUAAUCAGAAAGCCACGGCUAACUACGUG
rnacentral:rRNA from 1 species